rnacentral:rRNA from 1 species
CUGGCUCAGGAUGAACGCUAGCGGCAGGCUUAACACAUGCAAGUCGAGGGGCAGCGCUGAGUAGCAAUACUCUGGCGGCGACCGGCGAAAGGGUGAGUAACGCGUGAGCAACAUGCCCGGUAGUGGAGGAUAGUCGAUGGAAACGUCGUGUAAUACUCCGUAACAUACGGGACCGCAUGAUUCUGUAUUAAUAGAUUUAUUGCUAUCGGAUUGGCUCGCGUACCAUUAGCUAGUUGGCGGGGUAACGGCCCACCAAGGCGACGAUGGUUAGGGGUUCUGAGAGGAAGGUCCCCCACAUUGGAACUGAGACACGGUCCAGACUCCUACGGGAGGCAGCAGUGAGGAAUAUUGGACAAUGGCCGGAAGGCUGAUCCAGCCAUGCCGCGUGCGGGAAGACGGCCCUAUGGGUUGUAAACCGCUUUUGUUGGGGAGCAAUAAGGGUCACGUGUGGCCUGAUGAGAGUACCCAGCGAAUAAGCAUCGGCUAACUCCGUGCCAGCCGCCGC